rnacentral:rRNA from 1 species
UAGAUCGUGAGGACUACUGGAGCGCUUAGAAGUGAGAAUGCCGGUGUGAGUAACGCUAGGAGGGUGAGAAUCCCUCCCACCAAUUGACUAAGGGUUCCAGGGUACGGUUCGUCUUCCCUGGGUUAGUCAGGACCUAAGCCGAGGCCGAAAGGCGUAGGCGAUGGACAACAGGUUUAUAUUCCCGUACUGGCUAUGUGACUGAUGGAGCGACGGAGAAAGCAAGUAAGGGCCUAUUAUUGGAUUUAGGUCUAAGUACAAAGAGUAAUGCGUUAGCAAAUCUGCGACAUUAUUAGCUUGAAGUACGAUGGCGAAGAUUCCCUCGGGAAUCGAAGUCUUAUGCAGCUAUGCUUCCAAGAAAAACUUCUAAAGAUAUUACAUAGUCACCUGUACCAAGUACCGACACAGGUGGUCAAGGAGAGUAUCCUAAGGUGAGCGAGAUAACCAUGGGUUAAGGAACUCGGCAAAAUUGCCCUGUAACUUCGGGAUAAAGGGAGGUCUCUUCGGAGACCCACAGAAAAAAGGCCCAAGCAACUGUUUACCAAAAACAUAGGUCUCUGCUAAAGCGAAAGCUGAUGUAUAGGGGCUGACGCCUGCCCAGUGCUGGAAGGUUAAGAGGAUAGGUCAGAUGGACGCAAGUCGAUAACAUCAAAGCCUUGAAUUGAAGCCCCAGUGAACGGCGGCCGUAACUAUAACGGUCCUAAGGUAGCGAAAUUCCUUGUCAGGUAAGUUCUGACCCGCACGAAAGGCGUAAUGAUUUGGGCGCUGUCUCAACCAUGGACUCGGUGAAAUCUUAAUACCUGUGAAAAUGCAGGUUACCCGCGACAGGACGGAAAGACCCCAUGGAGCUUUACUGUAGCUUGAUAUUGUAAUCAGGUAGUGUAUGUAGAGGAUAGGUGGUAGACUUUGAUGUAUAGACGCUAGUUUAUGCGGAGUCGCCCUUGGAAUACCACCCUUACGUUGCUUGAUUACUAACUUGUUCCCGUAAUCCGGGAAGAGGACAGUGUCUGGUGGGCAGUUUGACUGGGGCGGUCGCCUCCCAAAAUGUAACGGAGGCGCCCAAAGGUUCCCUCAGAUUGGUCGGAAAUCAAUCGAAGAGUGUAUUGGUAUAAGGGAGCUUAACUGUGAGACCUACAAGUCGAGCAGAUGCGAAAGCAGGGCAAAGUGAUCAGGCGGUAGAAAAUGGAAUUGCCGUCGCUUAACGGAUAAAAGUUACCCUGGGGAUAACAGGCUGAUACCACCCAAUAGUUCACAUAGACGGUGGUGUUUGGCACCUCGAUGUCGGCUCGUCACAUCCUGGAGGUGAAGUCGCUUCCAAGGGUUGGGCUGUUCGCCCAUUAAAGUGGCACGCGAGCUGGGUUCAGAACGUCGUGAGACAGUUCGGUCCCUAUCCGUCGUGGGCGUAGGAAAAUUGAGGAGAGCUGAUUCUAGUACGAGAGGACCGAAUUGGACAUACCUCUGGUGUAUCUGUUGUAACGCCAGUUGCAGUGCAGAGUAUCUAUGUAUGGAAAGGAUAAUCGCUGAAAGCAUCUAAGCGAGAAGCCUCCUCCAAGAUGAAUUUUCCCAUAUUUUAUAUAGUAAGUAUCCUUGUAGACUACGAGGUUGAUAGGCUAGAGGUGGAAGCAUAGUGAUAUGUUGAGCUGACUAGUACUAAUAAUACGAGGAUUUAAUCAC